GCUGACUCCCUGACAUGGCUACCAAAGUUGUCUAUUGAUAAUGCAAAAAGGGGCCUUCGUCUAAGAGAACUCAUUUUUCUGGUUACUGCACCUGGGAGGCCCCCACCCCCAGUUUUCUCAGCAGGGAACAUGAUGUCUGCCAUUUGAAAUCACGCCGUGGAAGCGAGGUUUAACACAGUGAUGGAUAUGCAUGGGAAAGGUGUGGAUCCAACGUUACUGUCUCUGCAGAACCUUCCCUAAUUCCCAGCUUAUUCUACUCAGCAUCCCCAGAGCACUGUAACCACGACUGAAGGCAUAUGCCCAGGGCCAGAGAACAGUUCCAUUAUGGAGGAGAAAAGAGUACGGCCUCUGGAAGGCAGU